rnacentral:rRNA from 1 species
CUGCGGCAGCGACACUCAGGUGUUGUUGGGUAGGGGAGCGUUCUGUAAGCCUGUGAAGGUGUGUCGUGAGGCAUGCUGGAGGUAUCAGAAGUGCGAAUGCUGACAUAAGUAACGAUAAAGCGGGUGAAAAGCCCGCUCGCCGGAAGACCAAGGGUUCCUGUCCAACGUUAAUCGGGGCAGGGUGAGUCGACCCCUAAGGCGAGGCCGAAAGGCGUAGUCGAUGGGAAACGGGUUAAUAUUCCCGUACUUGGUGUUACUGCGAAGGGGGGACGGAGAAGGCUAUGUUGGCCGGGCGACGGUUGUCCCGGUUUAAGCGUGUAGGUGUGUGUUCCAGGUAAAUCCGGUUCACUUUAACACUGAGGCGUGAUGACGAGGCACUACGGUGCUGAAGCAACAAAUGCCCUGCUUCCAGGAAAAGCCUCUAAGCAUCAGGUAACAUCAAAUCGUACCCCAAACCGACACAGGUGGUCAGGUAGAGAAUACCAAGGCGCUUGAGAGAACUCGGGUGAAGGAACUAGGCAAAAUGGUGCCGUAACUUCGGGAGAAGGCACGCUGACACGUAGGUGAAGUGAUUUACUCAUGGAGCUGAAGUCAGUCGAAGAUACCAGCUGGCUGCAACUGUUUAUUAAAAACACAGCACUGUGCAAACACGAAAGUGGACGUAUACGGUGUGACGCCUGCCCGGUGCCGGAAGGUUAAUUGAUGGGGUCAGCGCAAGCGAAGCUCCUGAUCGAAGCCCCGGUAAACGGCGGCCGUAACUAUAACGGUCCUAAGGUAGCGAAAUUCCUUGUCGGGUAAGUUCCGACCUGCACGAAUGGCGUAAUGAUGGCCAGGCUGUCUCCACCCGAGACUCAGUGAAAUUGAACUCGCUGUGAAGAUGCAGUGUACCCGCGGCAAGACGGAAAGACCCCGUGAACCUUUACUAUAGCUUGACACUGAACAUUGAGCCUUGAUGUGUAG